rnacentral:lncRNA from 1 species
UGGGAUCCAUCAGGUCUGCUGCUUGCUCUGUCAAAACCUUGCCCUUCUUAUCACCAGGAUGAUGUUUAGCUGGUGCCCCUACCCCUCAGGAAUAGGCAAGUCAAGAGGCUGAAAAAUCUGAAGCAUGUUUCCAAAGAGCAACCUGACAGUCACUUGCUGGGUAUGGAGUGGCAUGAGGAAGCUCUUUCUAUUGCUUUCUCUCUUGCUGUCCCAUGCAGCUCAUUUGGAAUGCAAAAAGGAUAACCAGUUCAUCUGGAAACCAGGGAUACUGAAGAAAGACUGUUGGCCCAUAGUUGUGCAUGGCAUUCUCUCGAUGUGGAAGAAAGGACCAAACCAAAGAAAGGACCUCCUUUGCUUCAACUCAGAUUCUUUUGUGUUUUAGGCAGGUGGUGCGGAGAGAUACACAUAGGUUGUAAUUGUGAUAAAGGCUCCCACGUUUGGUGGCUAGAUACUGAAAGUACUUUUAAACAACUGCCUGUUUAGGUGAUUGAAAGACUUCUACCAUUGACUUGGUUCUCUG